UAAAAUCACUGAAAAUUUAAAAUAAAUGAAGUAAAAUUAAAAAAAAUUAAAGUUUUAUCAAAAAUUGUAAUAUAAAAAGUAUAUGAAAAGAAAAAAAAAAUUGUUUUAAAUAAAAGGACUUUAUAUUAAUGAAAAAGAAAAUUGGAGAGGGCGAAAAUAGAAGAGAGUGAGAAAGAGAGAAAAAAAGGAAAAAAAAAACAAAAUUUGACACACGCAUGACAAAUGAAAACAAUUUUUUGACAUUUAAGUGUACAAUAUUUUUCUAUUUGUUUUGUAUUCUGCGAUAAAUAACAUCAUAUAAUUUCAAAAAUUGAAGAAUAUUUAGUGUUACAGAAUAGCGCAAGCAGUCAACGUGAAUAAAAUUUUUUCUCAUCUUCAGCUUAGUUACGCUUUCAGUUUGUUUAUAAUAUGACAAAUUUUUAGAACAGAAAAUGUAUCAAAAAGGCAUAGAACCCAAAUUAAAUUAAGAAAAAAAGAAAUCGUUAAGUUGCAAUUCACUUUUCAAAAGAGAAUUUAGCAAAAUAACUAAAACAAAUUUCAUCUUUAUUUCAUCAGUAUUGAAGAGGCUUCUUUUACUACUUUUAUUGAAAGAAAAGCAACGAAAGUGCAUAAGGUACCAGAGAUUGCAUCAGAAUAUCAUCAGCUUCUACAUAUUAUUAGAUACAAAAAAGCAAUGAAAAACAGACAUUUGCAUUGAAUUUCUUCUCCAUUUUAAUUUACAAUAAAAUACAGAGUUGAAGAUUUUUUUCAAAUAGUGUUGUUCGCGUAAAGUAUUUUACAAUUUUUUGUUUUUCUUUUUUUAAUUUUCUUGAAAAUAAAAUCUUCAAAGGAAUUUUUUUUUUAUAACAUUGGCACUAACUUUUUAUAAGAUGUAUGAAGAUGUAAUUAUAUACAUACUUACACAAUAAAAUGUAGUCUAGUGUUGCAAAACUGUAUAGGUACUUAGUGUCAUUGAAAUUUUAUUAAAUUACAUUAGUUGUUACUAUGUAAUAACAACUAAUGGCAUUGUCAUCUAUUUAAUAUCGAAGCAUUGUUCAACAUAGUUCAAGAAGAGUAAGCAACAACAAUGACUAUAUUCUAAUGAAAAAUAUAUUAUAAUCUGGAGCAAAACAAAGGAUCUAGCUUUUUUCUUUUUGGGAGAAGAAUAUUAUAAAAUUAUUAAGAAAAUUAGCAAAUAUAUUGCUCUUAUAUAAAACAAUAUAAAUAGGGAGAGAUGGAUAAAUAUUAUACACAAGUAUAAAUGUGCUGCAUACAUAGAUACAAACACGCUUAUAAUUAUAUAUACAAGUAAUUAUGUAUACCUACAUACAGAUAUGAAUGCAAGAAUGGAAAACUUAUUUGUCUAAAUUAUUAAACGUAAAAAAAAAAAAAAAAAAAAUUCCUAGUUGAAAAAGACCAAAUUAUAGAAGCAUUGAGCAAAAAGAAGGAAAAAAGUAAUUAUAGAAUUAGUGUAGGUAAAGAAGAAUAAAAAAAGAAAUUCAACGGGGAAAAAAUAAAGGAUUUACAAAAAAAAUUAAAAAAAAAAAGAAAAUUUGUGGAAAAAUAAAUAAUUUUCAAAUAGAAUUUUUUUUUUUACAAGUGAACAGAAUAGAAAACAGGCAGACGUACACAAAUAGAACAAAAAAUAAGAAAGAAAAAAUACAAAAGAGCAUUAUGAAAAACAAAUUAAAUGACUACUCGCUGAACAACAAAAAGGAUUAUUGCAAGAUGCCUUUGAACGGAAAAAUAUUUUUUGUUAUUUUGAUGAUUUUUGUUUCGUCCAUUCGUGGGAUAACAGAAGAAUUAUCACCAGGUAAAUGUCAAAAAUGCAACGAUUUAAAGUAUUUUGUUAAAAAUUAAGGUAAUUUUUUUUAAUGUUUUGGUUAUUAUCAAAACUUUGUUGAUAUGUUUAUGGUUAAGAAGGAAGGGCUUGUCAUUUUAAUAUAUCGAAAUUGACAACAACACCAAAAAAAUUCGACGUUCCGGAAUGCAACAAAUUUAUCGGAACCAAACUCACAAAACAGUUCUGAUUAAAAAUAUUGCAGAAUUUCAAUAUGAAGUGCAUAAACUUUUAUAAAAUUGGUAAUUAAGUGAAUGUUAUGGUAAAAAUUUAAAAAAUU